AACGAACGCUGGCGGCAUGCCUAACACAUGCAAGUCGAACGAGACCUUCGUGUCUAGUGGCGCACGGGUGCGUAACGCGUGGGAACCUGCCCUUAGGUUCGGAAUAACUCCCCGAAAGGGGUGCUAAUACCGGAUAAUGUCUUCGGACCAAAGAUUUAUCGCCUUUGGAUGGGCCCGCGUUGUAUUAGCUAGUUGGUAGGGUAAAAGCCUACCAAGGCGACGAUCCAUAGCUGGUCUGAGAGGAUGAUCAGCCACACUGGGACUGAGACACGGCCCAGACUCCUACGGGAGGCAGCAGUGGGGAAUAUUGGACAAUGGGCGAAAGCCUGAUCCAGCAAUGCCGCGUGAGUGAUGAAGGCCUUAGGGUUGUAAAGCUCUUUUACCCGGGAUGAUAAUGACAGUACCGGGAGAAUAAGCUCCGGCUAACUCCGUG
rnacentral:rRNA from 1 species